rnacentral:rRNA from 1 species
CAGUAGCCACGGGAAUACGAAGGGGGCUAGCGUUGCUCGGAAUUACUGGGCGUAAAGGGCGCGUAGGCGGACAGUUAAGUCGGGGGUGAAAGCCCGGGGCUCAACCUCGGAAUUGCCUUCGAAACUGGCUGUCUUGAGUACGGGAGAGGUGAGUGGAACUCCGAGUGUAGAGGUGAAAUUCGUAGAUAUUCGGAAGAACACCAGUGGCGAAGGCGACUCACUGGCCCGUUACUGACGCUGAGGCGCGAGAGCGUGGGGAGCAAACAGGAUUAGAUACCCCCGUAGUCCCUGUCUCUUAUAC